rnacentral:rRNA from 1 species
GACGAACGCUGGCGGCGUGCCUAAUACAUGCAGGUCGAGCGCAGGAAACUGACGGAACUCUUCGGAGGGAAGGCAGUGGAAUGAGCGGCGGACGGGUGAGUAACACGUAAGGAACCUGCCUCAAGGAUUGGGAUAACUCCGAGAAAUCAGAGCUAAUACCGGAUAGUUCAACGGACCGCAUGGUCCGCUGAUGAAAGGCGCUCCGGCGUCACCUUGAGAUGGCCUUGCGGUGCAUUAGCUAGUUGGUGGGGUAACGGCCCACCAAGGCGACGGUGCAUAGCCGACCUGAGAGGGUGACCGGCCGCACUGGGACUGAGACACGGCCCAGACUCCUACGGGAGGCAGAAGUAGGGAAUCUUCCACAAUGGACGAAAGUAUGAUGGAGCAACGCCGCGUGAGUGAUGAAGGUUUUCGGAUCGUAAAACUCUGUUGUAAGGGAAGAACACGUACGAGAGGGAAUGCUCGUACCUUGACGGUACCUUACGAGAAAGCCACGGCUAACUACGUGCCAGCAGCCGCCGUAA